rnacentral:rRNA from 1 species
CCUACGGGAGGCUGCAGUCGAGAAUCUUUCACAAUGGGGGCAACCCUGAUGGAGCGACGCCGCGUGGAGGAUAAGGUCUUCGGAUUGUAAACUCCUGUCAUGCGAGAACAAGGUUGCAGGGCUAACACCUUUGCAAAUUGAUGGUACCGCAAGAGGAAGAGACGGCUAACUCUGUGCCAGCAGCCGCGGUAAUACAGAGGUGGCAAGACUGGGCGGAAAGGGUGGGGAGUAGAGGUUGUAAGUCAGACGUGAAAGCCCGGGGCUCAACCUCGGAAUUGCAUCCGAUACUGCCAUGCUGGAGUACUGAAGAGGUGACUAGAAUUCUAGGUGUAGCAGUGAAAUGCGUAGAUAUCUAGAGGAAUACCAACGGCGAAGGCAGGUCACUGGGCAGUUACUGACACUGAGGCACGAAGGCCAGGGGAGCAAACGGGAUUAGAUACCCCGGUAGUC